UUUAUGGAGAGUUUGAUCCUGGCUCAGGAUGAACGCUGGCGGCGUGCCUAAUACAUGCAAGUCGAGCGAACGGACGAGAAGCUUGCUUCUCUGAUGUUAGCGGCGGACGGGUGAGUAACACGUGGAUAACCUACCUAUAAGACUGGGAUAACUUCGGGAAACCGGAGCUAAUACCGGAUAAUAUUUUGAACCGCAUGAUUCAAAAGUG
rnacentral:rRNA from 1 species